ensembl:lncRNA
UUUUUUUUUUUUUUUGGCAACCUACAAAAAUAAAGCAAUGGAUCCCUUUAGUGUCUUCAUCAGAUUAAAAUGUAGUUUGAGGAUCAAUCCCUACCGCCUCCCUUUCCAAGGCCAAUCCAUCCGUCAGCAUGCCCCCUGGCACGUCCCUCGAGGCCUGUCCGUCGGCCUGGCUGGCUGAUGAGAAGUCGUGUCAGCCGCAGGGGCCCAGGGACAUGCCAGUAGUGUGAUGGCAGCUCCCUGGGCAGGCCUAAGAGGCCAGGGUCUUAUUAGCAAUGGCAGCAGAUGGAUGCGGGGGCAGCCCCGGGAGAGGCCAGCAAGUCCGGUGCCGAGAAGCUCCUUGACUCACCGUCCAAAGGAACGUGGGAUGUUGGCUUCUGUGUGUCACAAAGUGGGCAGCCGGCCUGGGGUGCUCGGCACAUUCCUGGUCUGGUCUGUGGCUGGAGAAGUGACAAGGAACCGGAUCAUUAUUGACAGGAAAGCAUCUCGCUGUUCUUUAAAGAGACCUUUAGUGAAGGAGGAUCCAUGAUUCUCCCCAACCCUUCAUUUGAGUGCCUUUCAGCCUUCCUUGGGGAAAACAUCCAUAUUUCUUCUACUUAUAUUCCUUACUUGUCACCCCUCAUUCAUUCAACAAAUGCUCACUGAGCUUCUUCAUGUGGCAGGCUCUGUUCUAGACCCUGAGCACUGAAUAACAUAAACGGGGUUUCUCCUCUCCUGGCACCUACAUUCUCAUGAGGGAGAUAGACAAUAAGUAAAGAAAGGAAAAUGUCAGGACCAUGAAUAUAAAAUGGAGUGACUCAAUGGGGAGUUAUGUGGGAGGCUGCAAGGUGAGUGGUCGGCAGAGGUCUCCUGAGGUGACACUGAGGCCCGAGUGCCCUGAGGAGCCUCCCCUGGGACAAGCUAGAGAGAGGGCAUCCCAGGCAGCAUGCAGAGGCCAGCAUGGAGUGCUCUGAACUGGGCAGAGCAAUAGGGCAGGAGUUUGGUGUGGAUCCAGGGGCUGUGGCUGUAGGGCUUGUGAGCGGGGGAGAGAUGGGAUUUUAAGUGAUAGAUAUGGGAACCAUUGAAAGUAUUUUAGAAGGAAAGCAACAGAAUUAUAUUCAUGUUUAUGAAUUUGUUCCAGCUGCCUUAACGAGCCCUCUUCAAGCCCAUUUUCCUUUUGCCUUUCUAUUAGUGGCGAUUAAAAAAAGAUAUUUGCCAUCCUUCUUAGGCUUGAAGGUGAUUUGCAAGUCAAACCUCAUGCUUUUCUCCAGUAUCAAUAAGUUCAGUCCCAUUUUUCCUCUCUUGUGCAUGAUGAACUUUAUUAUGCCAACCUUCAAGGGGUAUUCCGAAUUCCUUUUUCUUAGAAUUCUAGAGCUGGCGGGGCCCUUAGAGAUCGCUGGGUCCAGUCUUUAUUUUACAGAUGAGGGAACUUGGUUGCCACAGUGGUCAAGGGACCUGGCCCACAUCACAGCACCGCCAGCCAGGGCUGGGCCUCCGGUGCUAGAACCCUGCACCCUCUCCCGCCCUGCGACGAGUGGACGGUAGACUAGCAGUCUUCCCACACGCGCUUUUACUUACCAGCGCUCGUUUUUAUCUUCUCUUCCUUUUCUGCUUCGUCUUCUUUGCCUGCCUCUGGUCCUGCAUCCUUCCCCAGUAUGCUGGAAUUUUUUAGUAAUGGACUGUUGAUUGCAGUAUGUGGGAAAUUUGGCCGUAAGUUUCGGUUCUAUGUGGUUUCUUAUUGUGGUGGCAAUUGUUUUCACCAUUUUCUGCUUUGGUGUUAUUUGUGGCUCCCAUUGGGGCCUUCCUAAGCCCUGCUUAUUUUCCCAUGACUGGGGACUGGGUGUUAUUGUUUGUAACUCAAUAUGCCAGCCAUGGCAUUCAAGGCCACCAACCCUCUGCCCGUCUCAAUAGCAUAUCACAACCCACGCCACAUUGGCCCUCUGUGGGCCAGGCCUCGGGGUGGGAACUCGGCCAGCGUGGUUUUCCUACUCUGAGGCCUUGACAGAGCGGUGAGGGCUCCCUGCUGGCUCACACCCACACAGCAGCUCCUGACUCCACAGUUUGUCUUCCCCUCUUCUGUCCACUCCAGCGCAGGCCCCCUCAACCAUUCACUCAGCAGACAAAGAAUACUAAUAGCGGGUGAUAACCACUGCUGCAGGGAUGACACAUCAGCAUUA